CAAUUUCAGCAUUCAAGUGGUCAGCCAGCACAUCUAACAAGCUGAAGAACAGGAAACAAGAGGAUUUUGCUAACUUUGCAAUCAAGAGACAGUGAAAGAGAAGAGAGGAAGAGAAGUAGGGCAGAUGAGGGGAUGUAAUUGCAAGGAAUUUGUAAUGGAAUUUCAGAGAGGGUUGUGAGGAUCACAUAUAACUGUCCUGCAUGCUUGCCUUGAAGAACAGUUUGUUGUUUGAGACUACAACCAGAAGCAGAAAAGCGUUUGUAAUAUUAUCUAGAUGUAUAUGUAGUAUUAUCUAGAAAUGAACUAAACAGUUCAACAGUGCUUCAAGACUCAUGGAAGAAAGGAUAGAUAAUUUUUUUAAUGAUUUUACUCUAGGACUCUGAUAUUUAGAAGAUACUCAACACAAGAAUGUUUCUUUUCUGUAUCCCUCAUGUGUAUUACUGUUGAUAGCUCAAUUAGGUUUUCUGAUUGCUUCAA